UACGUAGGGUGCAAGCGUUGUCCGGAAUUAUUGGGCGUAAAGAGCGUGUAGGCGGCCCGAUUAGUCCGCUGUGAAAGUCCAGGGCUCAACCCUGGAAUGCCGGUGGAUACUGUCGGGCUAGAGUCCGGAAGGGGCGAGUGGAAUUCCUGGUGUAGCGGUGAAAUGCGCAGAUAUCAGGAGGAACACCAGUGGCGAAGGCGAGUCCCUGGACAGAUCCUGACGCUGAGGCACGAAAGCUAGGGGAGCAAACAGG
rnacentral:rRNA from 1 species